rnacentral:rRNA from 1 species
AAUGAACGCUGGCGGCAUGCCUAACACAUGCAAGUCGAACGAAGGCUUCGGCCUUAGUGGCGCACGGGUGCGUAACGCGUGGGAAUCUGCCCUUGGGUUCGGAAUAACUCGAAGAAAUUCGUGCUAAUACCGGAUGAUGACGUAAGUCCAAAGAUUUAUCGCCCAGGGAUGAGCCCGCGGAGGAUUAGCUAGGUGGUGGGGUAAAAGCCCACCAAGGCGACGAUCCUUAGCUGGUCUGAGAGGAUGAUCAGCCACACUGGGACUGAGACACGGCCCAGACUCCUACGGGAGGCAGCAGUGGGGAAUAUUGGACAAUGGGCGAAAGCCUGAUCCAGCAAUGCCGCGUGAGUGAUGAAGGCCUUAGGGUUGUAAAGCUCUUUUACCCGGGAUGAUAAUGACAGUACCGGGAGAAUAAGCUCCGGCUAACUUCGUGCCAGCCGCCGCCGUAAGAC